CAUUAGGUAGUUGGUGGGGCAACGGCCCACCAAGCCGACGAUGCGUAGGGGUUCUGAGAGGAAGGUCCCCCACAUUGGAACUGAGACACGGUCCAAACUCCUACGGGAGGCAGCAGUGAGGAAUAUUGGUCAAUGGGCGGAAGGCUGAACCAGCCAAGUCGCGUGAGGGAAUAAGGCCCUACGGGUCGUAAACCUCUUUUGCCAGGGAGCAAUGCCGUCCACGUGUGGACGGAAGGAGAGUACCUGGAGAAAAAGCAUCGGCUAACUCCGUGCCAGCAGCCGCGGUAAUACGGAGGAUGCGAGCGUUAUCCGGAUUUAUUGGGUUUAAAGGGUGCGUAGGCGGCCUGCCAAGUCAGCGGUAAAAUUGCGGGGCUCAACCCCGUACAGCCGUUGAAACUGCCGGGCUCGAGUGGGCGAGAAGUAUGCGGAAUGCGUGGUGUAGCGGUGAAAUGCAUAGAUAUCACGCAGAACCCCGAUUGCGAAGGCAGCAUACCGGCGCCCGACUGACGCUGAGGCACGAAAGUGCGGGGAUCAAACAGGAUUAGAUACCCUGGUAGUCCGCACAGU
rnacentral:rRNA from 1 species